rnacentral:rRNA from 1 species
CUCCUACAUGCUUAAAACCGGGGGGGGAUAGUCAAAGUCUUUGAGCGAGGAGGAGGCUACUGAUUCUAAUUUUCUUGGAUAGUGGACGUUACUCGCACAAUAAGCACCGGCUAACUCUGUGCCAGCAGCCGCGGUAAUACAAAGGGUGCGAGCGUUAAUCGAAUUUACUGGGCGUAAAGCGUGCGUAGGCGGCUUUUUAAGUCGGAUGUGAAAUCCCCGACCUUAACUUGGAAAUUGCAUUCGAUACUGGGAAACUACAUUAUGGAAGAGGAUGGUACAAUUCCAUGUGUAGCGGUGAAAUGCGUAAAGAUCUGGAGGAAUACCGAUGGCGAAGGCAGCCAUCUGGCCUAAUACUGACCCUGAGGUACAAAAGCAUGGUGGAGCAAACACGAUUAAAUACCCUGGUAUUCCAUGCCGUAAACGAUGUCUACUAGCCGUUGGGGGCCUUCGAGGCUUAACUGGCGCAGCUAACGCGAUAAGUACACCGCCUGGGGAGUACGGUCCCAAGAUAAAACUCAAA